UUCGAUUCGAGGCAUCGAAUCUCGCCGGGAAUUCACUUCGAGGCUCGGAGGCGAGCCUCCGAGGCCGUAGGUUCGUGGCCGAACUAAUAGCGGGGCUGAAUCGACUAGUCGACGCAGAAUUAUCGUCGGUCAUUAAUCUUCCGCGAACCUUUAACGAAAUUUGUUGCCGUCUCGACCGUCCCUGCAAAAUGCAUCCUCCGCGCCGACAGCAGUCGCAUCGAUCUGCUUUAUUAACAAUUAAAAAUAUGGCCUCACUACUUCGACGACGACGGCCCUGUGCUACGUUCCUGGAUGUUUAUGGAUUUAUGCCGCUGAAGACUGCACUAUCUGCGCAUAUUCUAUUUUUUUCUUUCGACCACUCUCUAGUCGGAGAAAACGAGGUUGGUAAAAUUCGCUCGAGCACUUGUGUUCUUUUAGGAAACCUGAAACUUCAAAAGUCGUUAAAUAUCCAUUAUCAAUGGAAUUGAAACAAUUGCCAAUGGUUCACAAGAUUGCAAACACAGCGUGCAGAAACGAAACACACCGAAAUACGUGGAAUUUUUUCGAAGAGAACUUUCGUUUUCAAGAAGAUCGAUUCGGAAAGCCUAUUAAACACGUGUGGACCGCAACGGAUACGUCGAACCACUGCUGGCCAUUUCCACUUGCGACAACGUUUACAGAUAUCGACACACAGUGGCAUAGUCUCUCAUCUGCUUUUUCACAAUGACUUCGCGCGGGCUGACACAACAGAAAAUAAUAAGAUCGAUGGAAAACUGAUAAGCCUGUACACCAUUGACACUGUUCAGUUCGAAGUAGAAACAGACAGCUGCGGACAGACGUAUUCGACGCGCGGUUAAUAAAUCUGUGCAGACUGUAUCAACUGACCUAGAUUAAAAAGUUGUGCUUCUCUUAAAUCGAUUGUUUCCAAGUGCUUUUCAAUAUUCUGCACGAUAUUAAAACGAAUGGUCAAUGGAAGAGAACAAUUUGUGCGAGUGUACUGUGGAUUUUUUAUAUUUUUAUGACGAAAACGGAUAUUUUUCAAACCGUAGAAGAAAGAAAAUAAUUGUACGCUAUUUUUAAUGUAUUAAAGUGAUUAGUAGAAGAAA